rnacentral:lncRNA from 1 species
CUCGGGGUCUCGCCCCUCCGGGGAGGAGGAAAUGCGCGAGGCUGGAGGACACCGCCUCCUCCAUUAGCGCGGCCGUCCCAGCCCCAGGUGCCUAUUGCUGCCUCGAGGGCUUUAGGAUCCUCGGCUGCCGGAAGAGACUGGAGACUGCGGCGCGCCUCUCCUCUGCCCUGGGCUGCAGGAUUCUACAUCAAAAGCCUGUAAAGUACAUUACCCCGUUGAAAAUAGAUUGUAGCAAAGUUUUGCUGAGACGCCAGAACUUUGCCAAGGUGGAACCGAUAUGGCAAAGAAACAUCUUGCCCGUGCUUUCUCUGGCCACGGGGCCCUGCUGUUUUGGGUUGUGGCAGAGGUGUGAAGCCUCCCUGGGCGGUCCUCCUCCGAGCCGCCCAUGCUCCUGCUUGAGUUCAGGUUGCACCAGGACACCAGCUGGAACACAAGAGGCCCUGCUGUGCUGAGAAUCACCCUUCCCUGCUCAAAGGAACUGAGAACCAUCUCUCCCUAGAGUACACCAUGGAAAAUGCCUCUGCUCACCAUAUGAGAGACUGCAAAAUGGGAAAGAGCCACCAGAUGAUCAACUCAAACAGGGCACAAACUAGAAUGGACACCAUGACUGCAACUCAGCAGAAAUACAUCUGCCAACAGACUGACACUAGAAGUGAACAAGCAAAGACGAAAAAACAACUGCAUGUGCCGUGGUAAAAAUAGG